GUGCUGGAGGUUGCAGCCCGUAUCCUCCCGGCUCAGCUCCGGCUCUGGCCGAUAGGGCUCCAGUCUGGAGUGGUUGUUCCGCCGGUGUUUAGGGCUCGACGCCACGCAGCACGAAGGUGUGUUCCCCAUGACGAAAUAAGGUUUCUGGUGGCUGUGACUGCUGCUUUGUGCCACAGCCAGCGGGUGGAUGGAGCUGGUGUCCGUGAGUUCACCUGUGGAGCCUGCAAAAACAUAACUAGGAUUUUCAAGAGAUCGUGUCCCUUCCCGCGUCUUCACUCUGACUAAAAUAUUACCACAGUCAGCGGCGGCAGGGUUGUGGAACUUACAAUUAGGGGCAUUGACAUCAUUAUGACAUCACUGGACUCCAAUGUCGACUGCUGCUUACUGCGAGUGAGUCAGGGCCUCUGCUGUUUGUCUGUGGGGAGAGUUUUUAUUUCUUUCGUUCAUGAUUAGUUCAUGACUUUCAGUUCAGGACUUCAACUUCAAUUUACAUGCAAGAUUUUUUUACACUUUUUUUUUCAUCCAUCAAUGUGCUUAGCAUGUCUUCCUGAAUCUUGCAUGGCGUUUUGACCUUCUUUUUUUUUGGAAAUCAUUUUAGCUUUCUGAACAAUGUCUAGAAUUGGAUAUUAUUUUGGGUUCUCAAGGAGAAAUGCAUGUACAAUAUGUGCUGGCAUUAUCUUUAGAUAAUGAUCGCCGCCUUAUUUGUAUGUUUUUCCCAGAAUGAAUUACAGCAUCUCACUAUUUGAACUUUACACUGCUAUUAUUUUUUAACAUGGCCUUUUCAAUUAAAUUUUCAAAUACAUGUGCCCAUGCAUUUGAUAUUUAGGUCUGUUUGGUGCUGACUGCACCCAGUGUGUAUUUGCCAUGAAGCAGAAAUAAUAUUAAUUUGGACGAAAACCAGUUGGGAUUAAGGCUGUUGUCGACCUCUGCUGUUGUUAUGUGGGGAAACAGCAAACCGAUCAAAUAUUACAACAGGAUAAGAAUCCAAUUGUUGCAAUGCAUUAAAUACUGUUUAGUGUGGACUGACAUGAAAAUGGGCAAAUAUAAAGAUCUCUGUUUUAUGUUAGAGAUUAACUAGUACUGUAUAUAACAUUUUUUUCUGAUAAACUAAUUGCGCCUUAUUACCCAACGUGAAUUAAAGCAAUUGCAAUGUUUA